UACCUGCGCCGCCGGAGCGGUUCUGGGAUAGCGAUGGAGACGCCCGGAGCAUCAACCCGGGCCCUGUUGCUUCCUGCCGCGUCCGGGCCCCGGAGGAAGCGCGCGGCAGGGGAGGCCCGGGCUGCGACGAGCAAGCAACGGGUCCUGGACGAAGAAGAGUACAUCGAGGGCCUCCAGACAGUCAUCCAGAGGGACUUCUUUCCUGAUGUGGAGAAGCUGCAAGCUCAGAAGGAGUACCUGGAGGCUGAGGAGAAUGGAGACCUGGAACGGAUGCGUCAGAUCGCCAUCAAGUUUGGCUCUGCCUUGGGCAAGAUGUCCCGAGAACCCCCACCACCCUAUGUGACUCCAGCCACAUUUGAAACCCCUGAUGUGCACACAGGCACCGGAGUGGUGGGCAACAAGCCCCGGGGCCGGGGCCGAGGCCUGGAAGAGGGUGAUGGAGAGGUUGGAGAGGAGGAAGAGAAGGCACCCCUGCCCAGCCUGGAUGUUUUCCUGAGCCGGUACACAAGUGAGGACAACGCCUCCUUCCAGGAGAUCAUGGAGGUGGCCAAGGAGAAGAGCCGGGCACGCCACACGUGGCUCUACCAGGCCGAGGAGGAGUUUGAGAAGAGGCAGAAAGAUAAUCUUGCGCUUCCGUCGGCAGAGCACCAGGCCAUCGAGAGCAGCCAGGCGGGUGUGGAGACCUGGAAGUACAAAGCGAAAAAUUCCCUCAUGUACUACCCAGAGGGCGUCCCUGAUGAAGAGCAGUUGUUUAAGAAGCCGAGGCAGGUGGUGCAUAAGAAUACUCGCUUCCUCAGGGAUCCCUUCAGCCAGGCCCUGAGCAGGUCCCAGCUGCAGCAGGCUGCCGCCCUCAAUGCCCAGCACAAACAGGGCAAGGUAGGCCCUGAUGGCAAGGAGCUGAUACCCCAGGAUUCCCCACGAGUGGGCGGAUAUGGAUUUGUUGCAACCCCCUCUCCUGCCCCCGGUGUGAACGAGUCGCCACUGAUGACCUGGGGGGAAGUUGAAAACACUCCCUUGAGAGUUGAAGGAUCUGAAACCCCCUAUGUGGACAGGACGCCAGGGCCAGCCUUCAAGAUCCUGGAGCCCGGCCGCAGGGAACGGCUGGGGCUGAAGAUGGCCAACGAGGCCGCCGCCAAGAACCGAGCCAAGAAGCAGGAGGCCUUGAGGAGAGUGACGGAGAACCUGGCCAGCCUCACUCCCAAAGGCCUGAGCCCAGCCAUGUCCCCAGCCCUGCAGCGCCUCGUGAGCAGGACGGCCAGCAAGUACACAGACCGGGCCCUGCGGGCCAGCUACACCCCAUCUCCAGCACGCUCGACCCACCUCAAGACCCCAGCUGGUGGGCCUCAGACCCCCACGAGCACACCAGCUCCUGGCUCUGCGGCACGCACCCCCCUCAGCCAGGACCCAGCCUCCAUCACGGACAAUCUGCUGCAGCUCCCUGCCCGGCGCAAAGCCUCAGACUUCUUCUAGGGCCAGGCCUGGGCCGGGCCUGCGGAAGCUCUGUGGAGUCUGCAGGGCAACUGCCCAUUUGGCAGAGGACUCCGGCCUUCUGGGGACCCAGGCCCGGGCCAGAAAUGCCAUCGUUAAAGAGCACGUAAGCACAGUCUGGCAGGACCGUCUCUCCGGCCCACUCCGCACGGCCUUCAGGCUGCCCUCGUGCCCACAUCAAGGUCUCAGGACUGCAGGCCUCCCUGGGAGGAAGCUUCUGGGUG